GAGAGAGUUAUAAAGGAACUUACAUGUGGAGAUUGUCACAUUGGUAACUUUCAGUUUGGUAAUACCCUCACUUCCCUUUUGCGUUUAGUUGCUUGGUUCCUUGUAGUUUUUUGGUUCUUACACUUUUCCUUGCCUUGAUUUUGUAACUUGUUUUUUUUAGGUUUUUUUUUUAAGUUUUAAAUUUAGGGGUUCCUUCUCUGUAAGCUUGAUUGAAGUGUUUAGGUUUGUUUUUUUAGGGUUUUGGACUUCAUAUCCAAACCCAGGAUGGUUGAAAACAUUAA
rnacentral:lncRNA from 1 species